rnacentral:lncRNA from 1 species
CCUGCAGUACUAUCAGACACUUGGCCCUCGUGGUUCUGGAGAAGAUGCUGGCUUUGAAGAGAAAGGAGCUGCACAUAAGGAAGGUGAAGUGAUGUGCCAUCCCCAGCUGUUUUCCCAUUCCUUCUUACCACUUACUCCCCAUUCUGUGUCUUCUGUUAGCCUGGUAUGAUAAUUUUGGUACCUGCUCACCUAGAAAUAUGUGCACACAUGAUCACAGGCACUUUUACUGCUCUGCACUUGUAUGUAGACAUUUACAGACACGUCUUUUUAUUUUAGGUUCGUUUAAUCUCUUCAGCUGGGGACUGUAACCUCCUAUCAUUGGAAUAAAUUAGUGUUUUUUUUCCUAGAAGGUAGGAGGACAAGUGGCUAGCUCUGAAAAAUAGUUUGGAGCAAGAGUGGGUUCAAGUGAUUAGCGAAGAAAAAAAGAUCUUUAAAAAAAAUUCCCUGGGUUAUUCUGAUGUUUAUUCUAUUCUCUGAAUGCAUGUGAUUCGUGAGCCUAAAAAGGCCUUCGAUGACCUCAUCUUGGCAAUUUCAGGAUGUUCAGGAGCCCAGUAGAUGGCACUAUCUAGUGGUGCUGAGAACAGUUCAUGGAGAAACUACCACUCACAGCUACAAAUCUGGUAGAGAAGUAGCACCCUUACAGUUUACUGGACAAGUUAGAAGUUGAUAGUAACGCUCCGUCAUCCUCCCCCUUACUAGGGAAUGAGACCUUUUCUUACAUGUCUUGCCUAUUCAUGGUAUUUACUCUCAGUACACAAAACACUGUUACCUCCUAUGGAUAGUCAGUGCCCCUUGGGCGGAAAUAGAAUAGAUUUGUGGCCAGUGGUCAAGCUUGAGACUUACCUCGUGUUUCAGAAGAGUGUUUUGCAGUGAGAGAUCUGGAGGAUUUCAGUGUUCGCACCCUGUAUGAUAAGCUGGAGGAUCAGAAUUUGCACCUGGCAUCUCAGCUGGCAAAACACAGGAUGGACGUGCUGGUGUUUUACAACGGAAUCAGCCAGCAGAUUCAAGGUCUCAUGGACAUGGUGCAAGCACGGGACUCUGGAGGCCAGAAAAUCUUUGCCAAGCGAAGGAUUUGUGGGCAUAAACCUGCAGAGAGCAGCUGGGCAGCAGUGGGUGUUGAACCAUGUGAUGAGCACUGUAGCAGCAACUUCGAAGCAGUAGGGCACACAGGUGCACCGUGGCAAGAGGCAACGGAGUUAAUGAAAGCUCUGGAAAUCCUGCUUAGGAGAGCUCAGCACAAGAAUAUCUCUGUGAAACAAGAGAUGGAGCAGCAGGUCCAAGGACAGGAUGCGCUGGCAGUUGUACCCUCACUGGGCAGCCUGGCCAGUGAAAGUAAAGCAGAAGUAGGGGAAGGGCAGGAUUGUGAGCUGCUUCAGCAGUGUGAGCUUUUCCGUAGAAAAGGUGCUCUUUUCAGCUUCCCUGGACAUGACGAACAUGAUCCCCAGCUGGCUUACCUGACUGAGCUGGAGGUGGAAGGCCUGAUAGCAGCUUCCCCCCUUGCCACGACUCUGUGUGAGAUCAAGCAAGCUUUGGUGAAGCUGCAACAACCUUUAGACCUUCGUAAUCCAGAGAAAUGUUUAAGUGACAGUUCCUCAGAAGAUACGAGGAGUGCCCUCAUCCCCACAGACCUGGCCAGUUUGUCACCUCACCAGUUUGUGGUGUAUCGCUUUGGCUGUGCAGUGGUGCGCCUGUUAAUCGGGGCCUGCUCGUGCCCCGCUUUCAUACUCGCACUGGCUCACUCAGUUCCUGCCCAAAGUCCAGGCCAAGAGCUUCUCCCAAGCCCUGGGGACUGCUACUAUGACGCCACCACGAAGUACCUCUAUGUAUGUGCAGCGAGGCUGGAAGAUGCAGGGGAAUUUACUGCUAUCCUGCUGAACGCUGUGGCAUGGAUCUCAGCAGGUUGUCCCUCAACUGGUAUCGGUCAUUCCUGCUUUCUGAUGAAGCUCAACAGAGCUAUCGUGGCCCUUGCCAAUGCCUUUUUCCAGCAUUCAUGGGGGAUAGCAGAGAAGGAUUCUUCAGGAGGUUGCUUAGCUGUUCCUUUUGACCCUCAGACAGUGCUCAAAGAACUUGUCAGCAUCAGAGUAUCAUCACUCCCAUGUGUCAAGGAAAAAGCCCCAGAAAAGAGGGUGUCUAGUCUGGAAAAGUACCAGGCCCUUAAGCUGCAAGUGGAGACCCAGGACAGGAUGGAAAGUUCUCAGAAAAGUGACUACAACUGGAUGUUAGAUUCCUCUGCUGUUAAGCUGAAGGUUGCAAAACUGGAGGAGAGGCUGGAUGAGCUAAAUGAGGAGUUUUCUGAACUGACAGUACGGGCCUUGAGCAUGCAGGAAGAUGGGGAAUCGUUGGAGGAGGAGCUGAGAAUGCAGGAAGAGUCAUUUACGACUGCAAGCAACAAACAAGCGUGGGGAGCUCAGCAAUAUUCAGAGCUGUUGGAUUCUUGGGCCACAAAGAGGGAUGAAGCCCUGCUGCUGGAAAUAAGGAAGAACUGCAUUGCUCAGAGGAUUGAAGAGAUGGAAGCAGAACUAUUUUAUCUUCAGCAAAGUAAACUAGGCACCAGCCCAUUUCCUUGAGGAACCUAGCUCAUAAGGCAAUACCUAAAGGCAGAUUAUGGGAGCAUGUUUGAAUCUGUGGACAGAGUGCUUUAUCUGAAGUAUCGUGAUAGAUACAUACGUAGUUAGAGAUUCACUCGGUCAAAUAUGUCACGGAAAAUCCAUAUUCUGUUUUCUUUAAUUGGUUGAAGUACAUUCACACUUACCCUCAGUCAUCAAUAAUUUUCUGGGCUUGAGAGGAAAGCUGAAGUUCUUAACAUUGUUUGCUAAUUUCAGAGUUUUCAUUGCUAAGUCAGUAAAGCAGAAAAGAUGUGAGGCCGUGGGUCACCCCCUCUUACCAGUGCAUUCUGUACUGCCUUUUUCACUUCUGAUAUCAAGGAUAGUUGUGAGGAUCUUUUAGGUACAGUUCAGAGCAAUACUUCAAAGACUUGCCCAGCAUUUCUACGCUGCCUGUGCAUGUUUUCAAUAGAAUCGUAUUGAUCAGUAAGGUCUGCUGGCAGAGACCUUGAAGGCCUUUAGAGGUGUGAUGUUUGGGCAAAGAGUACACUUAAAUAAUUCCCUGUAGCAGAGAGUGCAGCAAUCUGUGUAUCUGCUGGUGUCCAAUGCUCUGUGAGCUUGAUCUUUAAAUAGAAUAUAUCUUUUCUACCAUUUCUAUUCUUUUAGUCUGUCUUUAUGAUGCCAGGAGAGCCUGGCUGCAAAAUGGGCUUUGUUUCUGAGGAGCAAGAUUGGACUCAGCACACCUGCUGUCUCUUUCUGCACCGUAUUCCUUAGCUCCAGGUGAAGUAGCAUAGCAUAAACUUGCUCGUCUGUGAGCCAGCACAAUGCCUUGGCAAACCACAUUGGUAGGCUUCAGCCAACUGUUUUCAACAGCAAAGUCUGUUCUUUUUUCAUUUCAGUGUUUACUGAAUUGCUUAUGUGUGAAGAGGUUUGUGAACCCACUCCUUCCUGGUUCCUAAACACAAACCUGUGCUUACUCAUUCUGCCUUUGCAUAACUGUAGAGGGUAUUAAGAGGGUGAGACUUAAGUGCCUGGGAGCCAAGACAGAAGCUCUCAGCUUCAGUUCCAUAAACUGGUGUCUCUCCUCGAUCCAGAGGAACUGCCUGUUUUUUGCCCUUACCUACUCACUUUGGUGGUUCCACAUUUUCUGAGCUUGCUCCCAGAAGCAAAAGCUUUGUUGUAGUUCCUUUGCACCUUGGGAGAAUUUAAUUAUUUGCUGACACUUUGAAGGGACUUUCAGAAAAUGAAAGGAUUUUAGGAAGCAAAAUGUACCUACAGGCAACCGCUACAAAACACCGUGAUUGCCGCCUUCUGGGAUAUAGUAAUGAAAAGGCUGUCAUUGCUCUCCUAAUUGCUUUCUUUUCAGGUUAUCAGCAGAUAUAACAGUGCUACAUGGACACAAGUAUCUUCAGUGACUGCUGUCUCUGUAAUAUCCACUGGAAAAUACGGUACACAGGUGAUAGAGUUAUCUCUGUGCUGUGCUUCCAGCUGAUAUUUGUAAAAGGCAUGUUGGAAGGCAGUAGCAAGUAAAAUCUGACAAUUUUUUCAUAGCAACAGUUUUCCAAUGAAAAUAAUUAGUUUUAUUCUAGAUCAAAACAAAGAUAUGUGUAUAGAAUUUUGCUGAUUUUUUCCCCACUGUUGUUUUCUUAACAAGUACACUUCAGUUAUAAGUAAAUAAUUUUGUGUUUCAAAUUAUUUGUUUUGUUUUUUUUUUUUUUUCCACAAAAUGAAAGAAUAUCAAUGAGAAGACCAGAAUUUCACACAGCAUUUUCUUUUCAUGUUCUGUUGAUGGUUACUGAAAGAAAGAACAAAUAUAAAGAGGAGUGGUGCAACCAUUAUUUUUGUUCUUCUUCUAAAGUAUUUACUGUUGAUAGCUCUUUUUCUAGUGUUCUCUGAAAUCUUCUGGAAGUCAAGCUUGUCUGGAGUAGCUCUGAAGUCCCCUCACGUUUGGGAGGCUGCUGUUUCCCUGAGACUGCUGAUAAGACUGACCAAGUCCAGGGUGACUUAAUUUGGAAUUCGAAGAAGGAUCACAGGGCUGUUGGUUUUCCUUCAGUUGUUUUGACUUAUGCCUCUCUUAACAGAAAAUGAAAGGCCCUUUUCAGCAUUCAGGGUAAAGUGUAGCUUCUCAUGGAGGGCACCAAACACGGCUGUGAGUGUGAAAAGGGAGGUAUGGUGAGUUCCCUGACCAGGAACCUCUCCAGCUUACAGCUGUGUGUGGCUCUGAAGCAACACCUGCUGAAACUGGGUGGUUUCUGCUGCUUUUGUCUUCCAGUGUGAAGCUUAUCAAGCCUCCUAGUGGGUUAACAAAGCCAGACAACGUUCCAGUGGUGUGUGUCGCAGUUACUGAGGCCCACCUUGGCUGUGCUCAUUAUGUAGUUAAUCCUUGCUUCUCAUCCAGAUAGGGCUCUAUACAGUGCUUUCAAAUGCUGUUGGAAGAAAAGGUCCAGUGAAAACAACUAGUGAGAAUGUCCAUCCGAAGAAAAUGUCCAAUGAGGAUUUCAUUAGUAUGUCAGUGCAAAUGAAAUGCAGUACCGGUCCGGAUCUGCUGGCAGAGUCUCUGCAGGUUUUCACACUCAGUGCUUAAGUACAGGCAGGUUAAUUAAGCCUAUUCAAUUGCCAGCUACAAACAUAACAAUAAUGAAUAUCCAUUGAAUUCUCCUAGACUGUAGCAGAUGCAGGUUAUUAUGACCCAGCUUACCCCACAGCAAAAGAAUUUUGUGCUGAACUAUACAAACUAGUUUUUGCCUUGACUAAAAGCAUGGGUUGUUCUAACUUGACUGACUGUUAGAGUGAAAGGCAGAUAACUUGUUUUGAGGUGGUCCUGGAUCAUAGUCCUCAAGUAAAAGGCACCCAGACUCUGGGCUGUUUAUCAGAAGUGGAUUAUAUCUGCAUAGCUGAGACAUGUCUUGAGUUAAAUUGCGUAGCCCGUAGUAACUUUCUGCCCUUGAACCCUGACCAGGACUUCUGUGUGUUGCAGGUGAAGUUGAGUUGGCAGAUGAGAAUGGCAAGGUGACGAAUUUGCUCCAGAACCAUUAUACAUCACAGUUCCUAAGUGAGAGAGGGUUUUGUGUACUACUCAGAGUUACAUGUAUGUAAAUUUGCUAAUCUCUGUAUUGCAGAUGCUAUUAUUUUCCUUUGCAGCUGAAGAGAUACACACACACAAAUGAAGGCUGAAAUUUAUAGGGAAUUUUCAUUUUGGAUUCCCUGUCUAAGCCUGUGAGCAUCCUUAACUCCAGUCAGAGAUAAUAGAACCUAAUGAUCUUGAACACUUACUGAAGACAGGGCUAAGAUACCAGAAAUUGGACAUCUGAAAUUAAGUUGCUUUUUAAAAUGGUCCAGUGGAAGCUAGGAUUGCCUCCCUGUAGGACAGAGGUUUCCUUACAACCUCAGUUUUGACCUCCAAAAAAAAAAUUUUUUUUUUUUUAAGUUUCUGGUUUUAUGCCAUGCUUUUAUCCCUAACAGGACAUGAAGUUCUCAAGAAGCUGUGUUUAUGCCACUGUUGAAAGAUCACAGCAUUGUUGCUCCAAAGUCCCCAUGUUGGUGGCCUAAGGUAGGUGUUUCUGUAAUGUUGUUCUCAAACCUGAGAGGAGAAAGUAUUGUGUCAGCUGUGUUCCUCAGGAAGGAAUAAAAGCCUGAGGUAAAGAGGAAUGCUUUAAAUU